UGUUAAGAUUCCCCUUCUCCACUAAUGCCCUUAUUCAGAACACAGCAAGGCAAUUUGGCAGGCGUGGAGUCCACGCAUGAGAAAUCAGUAAAUGCACCUCCCGUCUUCCCCCUGCUGCCAGUGCAGCGAUGAGGGGCAGGGCUGAGGGGCUGGUGAAGAGACCUCCAAGCUGGUGGAUUCACCUGGUGGUCUGGUAGUGCCAAAGGGCUUAAGUGUGGCUAGGAAAGGUCUCCCUGCCUGUUAACAAAGAAAUGAUCAAGGGCAGAGAAGCUGGAGCCAUCUGAGGUCCAUGUCCUUUUUAUUUUUUCAUCCAUGUGAGGACCGACUGGCUCUAAGGAAAAGCUGUUUGCUCGCAGAUGCAGGUGAUUGGUGACAAAGGAAGCGGACUGAGGGAAUGGACAGCUCCCAACGAGCCUCACACUCCUGAGCAGAACAGCGACCACGGCUGCGUCCUUCUGAGGGAAGACGUGGGGUAAGUCCUGCCCUCAUUAAUCUCAAGACAUGGAACCUCACGAAGGCAGGGAGGCACUGCCAAGGAUGUGCACCUGAGCAGGUGUCGCCUCAGUUCUUCACCUUUCGUCAUUAUUACCCUGGACUCGGACUGUUUGGAGACCGUGCUGGGCUCUGAGUGAUUCUUCAGUUAAAGCAGAAUCUAUUGAAGCAAGCUGCUGACUGCUGGCACUGGAUAUUGCACCAUUUGUUUGGUUUCAUUUUCCUCCCCAGCUGGCUCUUGAAAUACUCCUGUAGAUUUCAAACCAAUGUUUGUAAGUAUCUCUCCUAGUGUCACUCAGAGCUUUUUGACCCUGGGCUGCACACCUGGGCAACCAAAACAAGAACGGUCUCCCUGCCAUUGCAGAAUUAUAUCCUGGGAUUAACCAUGAAAGGGGAAAGAGAAAUGGAAAUGAAAAGUGGUUAAGAAGAGGUAGCAGAGAUACAUAACUGCAAGACUAUGAUCAAAGGUGCUUUAGAACCUCAUUAAUUUGGAAACAUAUUUAAAAUGUGUAAUUUGGACAUAAAGUGUGCUUAACUUUUCCUUCAGAGCCCAUUCACAUGGCUUCACGUAACUUCCAUAGGCUGAUGACUCCCAUGUCUGUCCAGCACAGGUCUCUCCUGAGUGUUGGACCCGUAUACCCAGCCCUCUGUGGGCUUUCUACUUGGGCUGGCCACAGACACUUCCAGUCCCAAGCUGUCACCUUUGCCCAUUUUCUCCCCAGCUUUCUCGUCCUCACCCACCACAGGCUUCUUCCAGAUGCCUGAAGAGGCUUCAUCUCUGCUGCUGCCCUUCCCUUGCUUAGAGCUCUUCUCUCUCCACUAGUUAAUGCCUUUGCCCUUCAGGGCUCAGGCUGGCUUUUUUCCAGCAACACGUAUUGAGAGCUAUUACGUAACUGUCAUGUCAUUUCCUCAGAGAAGCCUUUCUGGAACCCCUGAGAUGAGGUGAACUGCUUUGGGAACACUCACCACCCCUUAAAUAAUUCUGGGCCUAAUGUAUGGGAAGGCUCCCCAGGGUGGGCCAUGCCUGUUUUCACUGCUGAACUGAUGAUCCCAAGCCCAGGACACAUUACACAGCCACCUUCAGUGCUUGUGGGUUAAAUGAAUAUCCUUGGUUAAAUCAGCCUCUUCUGGCACUCCCAAUCACAAGGAAACCUCAGCAUCAUUCCUCAUCGCCAGUCAUCAAGUCCUAAUGAUUGUGCCUCCAAAAUAGCAAUCACUCCCCAGUCUACCGGUUGCUCUCCAUCCUCACUGUUAUCCAAGCAUUAACUCCCUUCUGCUCAGCCUAAAAUACUUCCCAAAGCCUCCUAAACGGCUUCCCAGACUCUGGCCUGGCCCCCUCUUUUCUUGCCUCCACAAUUCGGUCAGAAGAAUCUUUUUAAAAUAAAAUGCAAAUCCCAUCCAGCCACCCCACUGAUUAAGCCCUCCAAGGUACUGUUUUCAAAUGCUCGUUGAUAAGCUUAAAAAAGCCACAACAAGCUGCCCUCCCUCCUUCUACCUCUCCUACUUUGUUUCUUGUCCUUCCAACUCUCCCAACACACUGUAGUUUUUUUUUUUUUAUUUCUGGAAUUAAAACAUGCCACACUCUCACAUGGAGCCUAAAGCACACUUUCUCCCAUUUGUCUGGCCAAAUCCUGUCUUCAUUCACAGCUCAUUUAUAACUCACUCAGGGAAAGCCUUUUUUGACUUCCCCUCAACCCCCAAGUCUGGGGGCAGGUGGCCCUAGUAUGUGCCACUGCCUACUCCCCAUGGUACCCUUCAGAGCACUGUGCUACCACACAGCAGGGGGAGUGUGUCUCUAUCCUCCUAUGGGUCUUUCUAUGGUUGACUCAGGGAGAGCACAGUAACAGGAAGAAGGACCACUGAGCCUGGUCAUCAGGCUUUGGUCAUUCCAUAGAGAACACCACGCUGCAGACACAGGGAAUGAGAGAGAAAAGGGGCCCACAGAAAUACCACAUCGGUGGGCUUUAGGAAGCUUUUCUCCCUCUGGGAGGGAACCUGGCUCAAACUCCACAUCCAGGCCUUGGGGGUACUCGCCUUUUUUGCCCAGUGGGUUCCUACCAUCCUGGCUAUGGCUUUCUUGGCCCUCUGCUCUGGUAUUUUCCCUGGAGGAAUUUCACUCUGCACAAACAGACCUUCUGUUGGCUAUUUUGGUCAGCUCAGCUGGGCCUGAAGCCAACAAAGCAGUUUCUAAGCCCAGGCUUUCCCAGUUGCCUGGCCUGGAAGAAUUCAGAGCUGAUCAGGAAAAAGUAAGCCAUGGCUGGCUUCAGAGAACAAGUUGGACCUCAAAGGAAGCUGAUAAAUGGGCUACAAGAAUCAGCUUGGACAGAGGGAACAGCAGCCCUUGCUGUGAAAGACUACAAAUUGCGCUGAACAUUUCAAAGGGAGGCAAAUCUCCAGCAAAACAAAUUUCAUUGACUUAAACUAAAUGAAAACAACUCUGGGCAGUGGCUCCCCAAUGCCACAGGCUGAAAGAGGAAGGUGAUCUGAGGAGACUUACAAAUAGACAUCGACUGAGGGCAGAAAUAUUCCACUUCCAAUCAUAUGGCCCUGCCUCCUGUCUCUUAUUCCCUAUUCAUGCUCUCUCAGAGGCAACUCUGUGACUCCACCAAAUCUCAUUGAAGUCGCAACCCCAAAGAGGGGGCUCUAGAAAUGUGACAUUUGGAAAUGUGCAGGCCAGUAUCUGCUUGCUCCACCUGAGCCACUUUCACCCUGUGGCUGAGAUGUAAGGCCACCUAACAGCCUAAAUCACCAUGAAGGGACAAACUGGCAUCUCAGAGCUCUUAGGAUCAAAAACAGUCACCCAAGCUAAACCUUUGCAUUGCAGUGUGGUAGGGUUUCUGGCUAGGUACAGCAAGCAGUUCUGAUGUUGGAACAAAAUGCAGCUAAGGAAACAAGAUGCCCAAGUUUUUGAAGGAUUCCAAAAGUUGGGUCUGCAAGCAUGCUUGCCUGGGACACAAACAGCUUUGACAGCACUGCUCGGAGGUGCUCACUGGGGUACACUGAGAAGGCUCUCAGCCCUUUCAGACCCCCUUGCUCCUAAGGAGAGCUCAUCUGCCAAGGGCACACCAGCCUGAAGCCCAAUCUGAUGAGAAACACAAUAAUCUCCUAUGCCAGUGGCAGCGUCAGAACAUCCUGAAAGAGCACUAGCUAGACAUGUAGUGGAAGCCAGGGCUUCCCCCAAGCUGCUAGUGCUGACUUUGAGCUUGCUCCUGGGCUCUUUUCUCAGUGUUCCAUGAGGCAGUAGGAAAAUCAGCUUUCCAUUUCAAAAUCUGUAAACUAGAACAAAUCCACCAGUGCCACCUGGGAGCACCUCCUCAAGGGCGAUCUCUAAUCCCUUUCCUACUUAGCCUGACAGUGCCUUUGAGUCAGCAGUGUCCCGUGUUUUUACCCUAUUCACUCAUCUUGCCACCCUGCUCCAAUAGAUUACUGACAGAAAAGUGAGACAUCCUCCACUCUGAGGUCUCCUAAGAGAAUGCUGCUGGCCAAAAAAAGAUCUGAUAAGGAAGAGCAACUUAAGAGAGACUUUCAGCUACACUUCAGAAACAUAAAGAUCUAAGUGCUCGCUCAAUGAAGGAAGUAAUAAAGAGAAAGAGCUUUCUUUCCACCUACAACAGGGUCUAGAAGUCACACAAGGAGUUGCAUGUGUAACCAAAAAAAAAAAAAAAAAAAGCAAAGCAAAAACGAACAAGCAAAAACACCAACAAAUGUAUUCUAUAAUGAUGUCUGCUUCUCAGCCUACAAAUGUACUGGUUUGAUCCAGCCUGCAGGCAAAGUGUUCCUGGUUUAGAACAUGCUGGGAAGAAGUUCACAAAUCCAGUUAAGCUGCCCUAAGGGAGACUCCAGACAUAUCACCCAAUAAACUCAUAAACAAAGUAUAUGAGUUUCUCCAAAUAGAUUUUACUCCAAGUUUGUAGACUACAAGGUUUAAGAUUGGACCAUUCAAUCCUGCAAACUCAUAAGUGUUCACACCACUACAUCCCUAACAUUUGUAAUACUCUACAUAUGUAGUUUUUCUGCAUCUUUCUUUCUGUAGCCACUGCCUACCUGUUCCAAAGUAAGUCCUACAUUUUUCAAUAUUUUAAAGCAGCGCUUCCAGGGCCAGCCCGUGGCUCACUCGGGAGAGUGCGGUGCUGAUAACACCAAGGCCCCGGGUUCGGAUCCCAUAUACGGAUGGCCGGUUCGCUCACUGGCUGAGUGUGGUGCUGACAACACCAAGU